rnacentral:tRNA from 1 species
UUAAGCGUAGUUUAUAAAGGACGUUCCAUUGUUAAUGGGAAGGUGAUGCUUAAG